rnacentral:hammerhead_ribozyme from 1 species
AUCCACCCGACGAGUCUCAAAUAGGACGAAACGUGCGCCCUGUAU